AACGGCGAGUGAACCGGGAAAAGCUCAAAUUUGUAAUCUGGCUGUCUUCGAUAGUCCGAGUUGUAAUCUAUAGACGUGUUUUCCGUGCUGGACCGUAUCUAAGUCCCUUGGAACAGGGUAUCAAAGAGGGUGACAAUCCCGUGCUUGAUACGACCACCAGUGCUCUGUGAUACACGCUCUACGAGUCGAGUUGUUUGGGAAUGCAGCUCAAAAUGGGUGGUAAAUUCCAUCUAAAGCUAAAUAUUGGCGAGAGACCGAUAGCGAACAAGUACCGUGAGGGAAAGAUGAAAAGCACUUUGGAAAGAGAGUUAAACAGUACGUGAAAUUGUUGAAAGGGAAACGAUUGAAGUCAGUCGUGUUCUUUGGAUUCAGCUAGUUCUUCUAGUCUACUUCCUUUGAACGGGUCAACAUCAGUUUUGUCCGGUGGAUAAAGAUAGUAGGAAUGUAGCUCCCUCGGGAGUGUUAUAGACUAUUAUUGCAUGCACUGGGUGAGACUGAGGACUGCAGCUCGCCUUUUGGCCGGCCUUCGGGUACGUUCGAGCUUAGGAUGUUGACAUAAUGGCUUUAAACGACCCGUCUUGAAACACGG
rnacentral:rRNA from 1 species